GAUGAACGCUGGCGGCGUGCCUAAUACAUGCAAGUCGAGCGAACAGAUGAGGAGCUUGCUCCUCUGACGUUAGCGGCGGACGGGUGAGUAACACGUGGAUAACCUACCUAUAAGACUGGGAUAACUUCGGGAAACCGGAGCUAAUACCGGAUAAUAUAUUGAACCGCAUGGUUCAAUAGUGAAAGACGGUUUUGCUGUCACUUAUAGAUGGAUCCGCGCCGCAUUAGCUAGUUGGUAAGGUAACGGCUUACCAAGGCAACGAUGCGUAGCCGACCUGAGAGGGUGAUCGGCCAGACUGGAACUGAGACACGGUCCAGACUCCUACGGGAGGCAGCAGUAGGGAAUCUUACGCGAUGGGCGAAAGCCUGACGGAGCAACGCCGCGGGAGUGAUGAAGGUCUUCGGAUCGUAAAACUCUGUUAUUAGGGAAGAACAAAUGUGUAAGUAACUAUGCAGGUCUUGACGGUACCUAAUCAGAAAGCCACGGCUAACUACGUG
rnacentral:rRNA from 1 species